rnacentral:lncRNA from 1 species
AUGUUAAACAAAUACAUACAAGAGAGUAAACGUUUGUUAUUGUGGACAGAUAUGAAUAUUAAAAAACCCGAUAUUGAAAUAGUAUGUUUUUUAUGUCAUUAUGGCGAUUAUAUAUAUAAAGGAAGAUUAAUCCCUUUUUACGAUAUUUACAUACAUAGUGAGUGUUUAAAAUGGAGCUUAAACUGUGUACAAGAUGAUAAUAAUAGUAGUAGUAGUAGUAAUAAUAAUAAUAAUACUGGUAAUAAUAAUAAUAAUACUAGUAAUAAUAAUAAUAAUGUUAGUUGUAUACAUACUUCUGUUUGUCACAACAUGGACCAUGAAAAAGGUGACAAUUUAGACAUAACGGAGGGCAUCACUGUUGUACAGAAUACAAAAAAGGAAAAGGAAGAAGUAACCGAAAAGAAAGAGGCAAUCGAAACGAAAACGAUAACCGAAAUAGAAACGGCAACCGAAACAGAAACGACAACCGAAAUAGAAACAGAAAGUUAUAAAAUUUAUAAUACUACCAAUGUAGACUGCUUGUAUAACAAAAACAAUGAAGAUGAAUUGUUAAAUAUUGAUCCAAAUUUGAGUAAAAAUAGUAUAGUAGAAAAUAGAAGUGAUACUAAUUGUGAAAGUAGCAACAAUAACUUAGAAAAUUUAAAGACACAAGUUAAUAUGUUGAAAAAACAAAAAACGGAAUUGUUUUUUAAAAAAUAUGAAGAUGACAAUUGCACUGUUAAAAACAAAACAAACACUACAUUCUCAUUUAACGAACAAACAAUUAAUGAUAAUAAAAAAAACAAUGUAAGUAUAGAAAAUACAGAAAUUUAUAAUUUAAUAAACAUAUCUGGAAGAGAUAAAUAUAAUAAUUAUUCAAAUAAUAUUUUAUGUGAUAAGAAUAAAAAUAAUAACAUUAAUGUAAAUGAAGAGGAAGUAAAAGAAAUAAUAUAUGACAGUAUUGAAUCAGUUUGUUUUCUUUGUGGGUAUAAUAAUGCUAGUGUAUAUUGUAGUAAUGGUACUUGUGACAUUAAAUUUCAUUUAAAUUGUGCUUUUUAUGCAUCAAUAAUAAAAAAUAAAAAUAGUUAUAACAAUAAAUUUUUUCAGUAUGUAAAUUGUUGUAAUAUAAGUAGGUUUACAAAAGAUACUAUUAUAUAUAAUGAUAAAAAUUCGAAUCGUUUUGUAAGUACUAAAAAGUGUAGUAAAAAUGGAAAUAAUUAUAUAAAAAUGGAUGAUAAAUACAAUAAAGACAUUUAUCCAAUUCAUAUUAUUUAUAAUAUAAAAAAAAUAUGGUGUAAUCGGUGUUGGAACGAAAAAAAAUAUAUAAUAUAUUUGAUUCAAAGAGAGAAACAACAUCAAGUGUGGAACCCAUUUUAA